GGGCCCGGUACGCUUGUCCCCCCCUGUCCCCCCCUGAUGGCGGCCCUGAGUCCAGGACUUCUAGUCUGCCCUGAGCCAUGUUGAUUGGGUGUCCACACUAAGUUCAGUAUCAAUAUGGUGUUCCUGGGGGAGCUUGGGAUCACCAGGUUGCUUAAAGAGGGGUGAACCGAUCCAGGUCGGGAACGGAGCAGGUCAAAGCCCCCGUGCUGAUCAGUAGUGGGAUAGCGCCUGAGAAUAGUCAGUGUAGAACAGUCUGGUCAAUAAAGUGAGACGCAGUCUU
rnacentral:SRP_RNA from 1 species